rnacentral:sRNA from 1 species
GCCAGGCAUGUUGGCACAUGCCUGUAAUCCCAGCGGCUUCGGAGGUGGAGGCAGGAGGAUCUGGAGUUCAAAGUCAGCCUCAGCAAAAGCAGGGCGCUAAGCAAUUCAAUGAGAUCCUGUCUCUA